UACGUAGGUGACAAGCGUUGUCCGGAUUUACUGGGCGUAAAGGGCGCGUAGGCGGCACAGCAAGUCGGGAGUGAAAGCCCGGGGCUCAACCCCGGAAUGGCUUUCGAAACUGCUGAGCUAGAGUACAGAAGGGGCAACCGGAAUUCCCAGUGUAGCGGUGAAAUGCGUAGAUAUUGGGAAGAACACCUGAGGCGAAGGCGGGUUGCUGGGCUGAUACUGACGCUGAGGCGCGAAAGCCAGGGGAGCAAACGGG
rnacentral:rRNA from 1 species